UGGGUAGGGGAGCUUCCCAUACGGGUUGAAGCAUGACCGUAAGGACAUGUGGACAGUAUGGGAGUGAGAAUGUUGGCAUGAGUAGCGAGAUGUGGGUGAGAAUCCCACAGGCCGUAAACCCAAGGUUUCCAGGGGAAGGUUCGUCCGCCCUGGGUUAGUCGGGACCUAAGCUGAGGCCGAAAGGCGUAGGUGAUGGACAACAGGUUGAUAUUCCUGUACUACCGAUAACCGUUUGAGAGAAGGGAUGACACAGUAGGAUAAGCUAAGCACACUGUUGGUUAUGUGUGCCCAAGCAUUGAGGCAGUCAAAGUAGGCAAAUCCGCUUUGAUAAUGCUGGGAUGUGAUGGGGAGCGAAAUUUAGUAGCGAAGUAGCUGAUUUCACACUGUCAAGAAAAGUCUCUAUCGAGGUUAAAGGUACCCGUACCGCAAACCGACACAGGUGGGUGAGGAGAGUAUCCUAAGGCCAGCGAGAGAACUGUUGUUAAGGAACUCGGCAAAAUGACCCCGUAACUUAGGGAUAAGGGGUGCCACCAUCAGGUGGCCGCAGAGAAUAGGCCCAAGCGACUGUUUACCAAAAACAUAGGUUUCUGCUAAGUCGCAAGACGAUGUAUAGGAGCUGACGCCUGCCCGGUGCUGGAAGGUUAAGGGGAUCUGUUAGAGCAAUCGAAGCAGUGAACUUAAGCCCCAGUAAACGGCGGCCGUAACUAUAACGGUCCUAAGGUAGCGAAAUUCCUUGUCGGGUAAGUUCCGACCCGCACGAAAGGCGUAACGAUUUGGGCACUGUCUCAACAACAGACUCGGUGAAAUUGUAAUUCCGGUGAAGAUGCCGGAUACCUGCGACAGGACGGAAAGACCCCAUGGAGCUUUACUGUAGCUUGACAUUG
rnacentral:rRNA from 1 species